CAGCGGACGCUACAGCUCUUCUUGACCUUUUAGAAAGAAUCCUCGGAUGUGGGUACACUGGACCUCUAACAUGUGAAAGAAAGGAGGACAUUCUAAGUGCUGUUGUCCUACAUUCAUCUUUACAAAUACUUCCAAUGAUACAGCAAAUGUGCAAAGGAUUGGAACUGUAUGGCCUUCAUGAAAUGAUAAAACAGAAUCGGAUUUUAUUGCAGCCAUUGUUUGUUCCUGGACAUUUUGAAAAACCUGAUGCAGAUUUCCUUACAAUGGCCCUGUCACCUAUUUUAAGUGACAUGGGUUCAUUGAAACGACAGAGAGAAUCACAAAUUGUGAAUUACUUACAGGACUUCAUUCAGAGCCUUAAAGAUGAAGGUAGUGUAAAUCUAAAUGUUCAAAUUACAUAAGUUUUAUACCCACUUUAUUUUCACCUAAAAACAAAUGCUU